ACCUGCCUGUAAGACUGGGAUAACUCCGGGAAACCGGGGCUAAUACCGGAUGCUUGAUUGAACCGCAUGGUUCAAUCAUAAAAGGUGGCUUUUAGCUACCACUUACCGAUGGGCCCGCCGCGCAUUAGCUAGUUGGGGAGGGAACGGCUCACCAAGGGGACCAAUUGAACCGACCUGAAAGGGUGGUCGGGACACUGGGAAUGAGAACGGCCCAGACUCCUAUGGGAGGGAGCAGUAGGGAAUUUUCCCCAAUGGAAAAAAGUCCAAAGGAACAAACGCGCGGGAUUGGUGAAGGGUUUCAGAACGCAAAACUCUGGUGUUAGGGAAGAACAAGUACCGUUCGAAUUAUGUGGUACCUUGACGGGAAAUAACCAAUAAGCCGGGGGGUUAAAAGGUGCCAACACCGGGGUAAUUUCUUGGUGGGAAGCGUUGUACGGAAAUAGGGCCGUGAAGGGGCGCCGCCCCGUUUCUUUAUUUUUAGGUUUAAAACCCCCCGGCCCAACCCCGGGAGGG
rnacentral:rRNA from 1 species